CACCAGUCCUGUAGUCAUAUAUGCACAUAGGAUAAUAGUGUUUGAUUCAUUCUUCUGUUCUUCAUCGCCAACUCUUUAAAUUUGAUUUUCAGAUGGGGUCUGGCUAUGUUGCCCAGCCUGGCCUGUAAGUCCUGACCCUCCUGUUUCAGUUUCUCAAGGUGUUGACAUUAAAGGCAUUGGCAAUCCCAGCUAUGGAAAAUAGUUCAUUUUGAUUUAAAUAUUAAUGAGCACACUCAGGAACAUGGAUUCAAUUGACCCUAAAUGAUGUAUGUGUCCCACCCUGAAAGACAAGGAUUAAACCCAGGGGCACUUAAUCACUGAGCCACAAUCAGUCAUUUUUAGAUUGUAUUUUGAGGCAUGAUCUCAUCAAGUUCCUUAUGGUCUCACUAACUUACUGAGACUGACUUUGAAUUUAGCAGUCCUCCUACCUUAUCUUCUCAAGCUACUGGGAUUACACUUGUGUGGCACUGUGCCUGGCCUACAUGAACUUUUAUAAAAG
rnacentral:lncRNA from 1 species